UAGGGAAUCUUCCACAAUGGGCGAAAGCCUGAUGGAGCAACGCCGCGUGUGUGAUGAAGGGUUCCGGCUCGUAAAACACUGUUGUAAGAGAAGAAUGACAUUGAGAGCAACUGUUCAAUGUGUGACGGUAUCUUACCAGAAAGGAACGGCUAAAUACGUGCCAA
rnacentral:rRNA from 1 species